rnacentral:lncRNA from 1 species
UGUUGUUAAAGUGGCAAGUAUUGACAAAUUAUCAAAAGCAUGCAUUUAAAAAAAAACAAAAACAAAAAAAAAUAUUUUUUUUUUGUCAUAAAGAUGGUAUGUUAUAAUAGUUGCAAUUGAUUUUGUAUCUCUACUUUGCCUAAUGAGUCCAAAUUGAUCAACACAUAGUUUAUAGUGCAAUAAUAUAAUACACACUGAAACAUUAUUAAUUAAAGCCUCACUUAAAUUUGCUGCUUUUCACGUAUUAUAAUAAAUGUAAGAAAAUAUUAAAUAGGUCCAAGCUUUUACUAAAUUGAUCCACCCAUUAUGAAAAAUAAAUAAAUAAAUAAAUGAUCUCUAGAUUCAUUUCUCCAUAGCUAGAUUUGAAAUCAAUGAAAACCAACCACAUUCAUCAUGAUUAUCAUAUUCUUCAUCAUGAGUAGUAAAAACAUGGGUCUAUUUAACAUUCCCC